AACGUAGGUGGCGAGCGUUAUCCGGAUUUACUGGGCGUAAAGGGUGUGUAGGCUGCCCCUCAAGUGGUGUAUGAAAGGGCUCGGCUCAACCGGGCUAGGUUAUGCCAGACUGAGGGGCUAGAGAGCGAGAGCGGGACGUGGAAUUCCGGGUGUAGUGGUGAAAUGCGUAGAGAUCCGGAGGAACCCCAGAGGCGAAGGCGGCGUCCUGGCUCGCAUCUGACGCUCAGACACGACAGCAUGGGGAGCGAACGGG
rnacentral:rRNA from 1 species